AGCUACGGCCGUGGCGCGUUGGUACACCCGAUCCCUCGAUCUAGGAAGUUAAGCAACGUGCGGUCCGGACAGUACUUGGAUGGGAGACCACCAAGGAAGACUGGAUGUUGUAGCCG
rfam:Branchiostoma floridae genomic scaffold BRAFLscaffold_38, whole genome shotgun sequence.